ACGGGAGGCAGCAGUGGGGAAUAUUGGACAAUGGGGAAACCCUGAUCCAGCGACGCCGCGUGAGUGAAGAAGUAUUUCGGUAUGUAAAGUUCUAUCAGCAGGGAAGAUAAUGACGGUACCUGACUAAGAAGCCCCGGCUAACUACGUGCCAGCAGCCGCGGUAAUACGUAGGGGGCAAGCGUUAUCCGGAUUUACUGGGUGUAAAGGGAGCGUAGACGGUAUGGCAAGUCUGAUGUGAAAACCCAAGGCUCAACCAUGGGACUGCAUUGGAAACUGUCAAACUAGAGUGCAGGAGGGGUAAGCGGAAUUCCUAGUGUAGCGGUGAAAUGCGUAGAUAUUAGGAGGAACACCGGUGGCGAAGGCGGCUUACCGGACUGUAACUGACGUUGAGGCUCGAAAGCGUGGGGAGCAAACAGGAUUAGAUACCCUGGUA
rnacentral:rRNA from 1 species